rnacentral:rRNA from 1 species
UUUCGAAUCAUUCACAAUGGGCGAAAGCCUGAUGGUGCGACGCCGCGUGAGGGACGAAGGCCUUCGGGUCGUAAACCUCUGUCACCGGGGAAGAAACGCUGCAUAUUAAUCGUAUGCAGCCUGACUUAACCCGGAGAGGAAGCAGUGGCUAACUCUGUGCCAGCAGCCGCGGUAAUACAGAGACUGCAAGCGUUAUUCGGAUUCACUGGGCGUAAAGGGUGCGCAGGUGGUUGUGUGUGUCAGAUGUGAAAUCCCGGAGCUUAACUCCGGAACUGCGUCUGAAACUGCACGACUAGAGCAUUGGAGAGGGUAGUGGAAUUCACGGUGUAGCAGUGAAAUGCGUAGAUAUCGUGAGGAACACCAGAGGCGAAGGCGACUACCUGGACAAUUGCUGACACUCAGGCACGAAAGCAUGGGGAGCAAAAGG